rnacentral:rRNA from 1 species
CCUACGGGAGGCAGCAGUGAGGAAUAUUGGACAAUGGGCGCAAGCCUGAUCCAGCCAUGCCGCGUGCAGGAAGAAGCAUCUAUGGUGUGUAAACUGCUUUUGUACAGGAAGAAACACUCCCUCGUGAGGGAGCUUGACGGUACUGUAAGAAUAAGGACCGGCUAACUCCGUGCCAGCAGCCGCGGUAAUACGGAGGGUCCGAGCGUUAUCCGGAAUCAUUGGGUUUAAAGGGUCCGUAGGCGGUUUAAUAAGUCAGUGGUGAAAUCUGGUCGCUCAACGAUCAAACGGCCAUUGAUACUGUUAGACUUGAAUUAUAAGGAAGUAACUAGAAUAUGUAGUGUAGCGGUGAAAUGCUUAGAUAUUACACGGAAUACCAAUUGCGAAGGCAGGUUACUACUUAUGGAUUGACGCUGAUGGACGAAAGCGUGGGGAGCGAACAGGAUUAGAUACCCUGGUAGUCCACGCCGUAAACGAUGGAUACUAGCUGUUCGGAGCAAUCUGAGUGGCUAAGCGAAGGUGAUAAGUAUCCCACCUGGGGAGUACGUUCGCAAGAAUGAAACUCAAAUGAAAUUG